AUUUCUCAACCUCACCAGCUUUUGUUGUGUGAAGGCUUGGAUGUGGGGGUUGCAGGUCCGCAUUUAUGUGGUCUGCUCCUCUAAAACGUAUUAGUGGGUUAGUCCCCUAAUCUAUUGGUGUGAUAAUUAUCUACGCCGUGGAUUUGGAUGACUAUUAUAGACCCGCUUCUAACCGUCCUCUGGACAACUUUGACAA
rnacentral:misc_RNA from 1 species